ACCUUGCUUGAAGUUUUUUCUGACACUCAUUUUCUCCUCCCUGUUCUUACCGAAUCAAGUGAGGAACAUGAAACUGAGCCUAUUGUAACCAGGCCCUGUACUCCUUGUGCACAUGCUAUCUGGAGGCUAGAAGAGAGAACCUGUAGGUCGCUUGUCUCUGCCUUCAGACGUGAUUAUUCAUUGUGCUGCGACAUGGAGAGUUCUCUGGCAGGAGUCAGACGUUACCUCUGCAGGAAUGGGGACUGCUCGUGGGAAUCGACAUCAGCACUCAGUGCAGUGAGGAUGAAAGUUCUGUGAAAUUCAAGAAGGCAGCGACUGCACCUUAAAAGGGUACCUCUUCUUCUACUUUCUCUGGGCAAGGAUUGGAGAAACCAGCCUUCAGUAAGCCCAGAUACUGUCACUCUACCUCCACAGAAGAUUUCUCAGUUGAAGUGAGAAGCUCAUGGUAUCACCACGUUCCUCUCUCCUAUUGACACUGGGCAGCUAGGUAGAAGGUGAAGACUUCUGGCUGAGAACACAUGGGAACCUGACUCUGCCCUAGCAGGUAGUAGAGCACAAACUGGGAUGAGUAAUUCUGGUCCUUUCCUACUUUAAGCAGUGAUGAACUAAUGUAGCCUAACUAGGUAAU
rnacentral:lncRNA from 1 species